UACAGAGGUGGCAAGCGUUGUUCGGAAUUACUGGGCGUAAAGGGCGCGUAGGCGGCCAUCUAAGUCAGACGUGAAAUCCCCCGGCUUAACCUGGGAACUGCGUCUGAUACUGGACGGCUCGAGUUUGGGAGAGGGAUGUGGAAUUCCAGGUGUAGCGGUGAAAUGCGUAGAUAUCUGGAGGAACACCGGUGGCGAAGGCGGCAUCCUGGACCGGCAUUGACGCUGAGGCGCGAAAGCCAGGGGAGCAAACGGG
rnacentral:rRNA from 1 species